rnacentral:rRNA from 1 species
UGGGGAAUCUUGGACAAUGGGGGCAACCCUGAUCCAGCCAUGCCGCGUGAGUGAUGAAGGCCUUAGGGUCGUAAAGCUCUUUCGCCUGUGAAGAUAAUGACGGUAGCAGGUAAAGAAACCCCGGCUAACUCCGUGCCAGCAGCCGCGGUAAUACGGAGGGGGCAAGCGUUGUUCGGAAUUACUGGGCGUAAAGGGCACGUAGGCGGCGAUGCGGGUCAGGUGUGAAAGGCCCCGGGCUCAACCUGGGAACUGCACUUGAAACUGCAUUGCUUGAGGACGGAAGAGGAGAAUGGAAUUCCCAGUGUAGAGGUGAAAUUCGUAGAUAUUUGGAGGAACACCAGUGGCGAAGGCGGCUCACUGGCUCGAUACUGACGCUGAGGUGCG